GAUUGUUGAGCGAGUGCGGACGUGUUGCGGACAAUAAAAGAACGUAUAAAAGAAUCCCCGCAACUGCAUACAAAAACCAGACGGACGCAUUCAAUUAGUGGACAUAUAAAUGAAAUAAAUGUGCAAAGGUUGAUUAAUUGCCAAUUGAAUAGAGCAACAAGUGCAGCGAACAAGUUAUUUUCUAAAAGAAUUGAAACGCUGCCAAAGUAUUUAAAGCGACCGAGCGGCGAAUAGAAAUCUGCCACCAACACAUAUUUUCACAUUCUUGCUUCCUAUCCAAAUUCGUGCAUCGCGUGUAUUUUACGCGGCAUCGUCGACGUGCUGUGUGUGUUUGUUAAAUACAGAGAGAGGAAGAGAGCGACUGCAAAAUAUUUUUGCCGCAACCUUUUUGGUGCCAUAUUCGCUUAAGGAAACUUACGUGCGUGCGUGUGUGUGUGUGUGUGUGUGAGAGAGUUGUGCAAGGCACGUGAAUGUCGCUGAAAAACCAUCCGGCAUAUCAACCGCUACCAACUGCAGCGGCCGCCAUGGAUAAUCCGGCGAUGAGCAACAGCAGUAGCAGCAGUGGAAGCAACGAUGACGUUGCCGCACUUGCUCAGAGCGGACUACCUGCGACAUACUCGUCACAACAGCUAGUUUCAUCGGAUUCGGAUACUAUGGAGCGUCACCACCUACGAGGGAAUAACAUAGUCGAUGAGCCCGGAUCCCGCUUAGCCCGUAUGGGCCACGUAAAGUGGUUUACUGUAGCAACACUCUGCUUUGUUAAUCUCAUCAACUACAUGGAUCGCUUCACAAUAGCUGGUGUAUUGACGGAAGUAAAGCAAGACUUUGACAUAGACAACGAUAAUGCAGGCCUGCUACAAACAGCAUUCGUUGUAUCCUACAUGAUUUUUGCGCCCCUCUUCGGCUAUCUGGGCGAUCGGUAUCCGCGUCGCUUGCUCAUGGCGGUGGGCGUGGCCCUCUGGUCGACAACAACACUUCUCGGCUCGUAUAUGCACACCUUCGGCUGGUUCAUCACGUUCCGCGCCCUGGUCGGCAUCGGGGAGGCCUCGUAUAGCACCAUAGCGCCGACAAUCAUCUCGGAUCUGUUUGUGAACAGCAUGCGCACCAAAAUGCUGGCAAUGUUCUACUUUGCCAUACCCGUGGGCUCUGGUCUGGGAUACAUUGUCGGCUCGAAGACCGCGCAGCUGGCCAACAAUUGGCGCUGGGCAUUGCGAGUGACGCCCGUUUUGGGCGUGUUCGCCGUGGUGCUCAUCCUGCUGAUCAAGGACCCGAAGCGCGGCGAAAGCGAGGGCCAAUCGCAUAUGGAGCCAACCAGCUUCUUCAUCGACAUCAAGGAGCUGAUCAAGAAUCGAUCCUUCAUGCUGUCGACGGCGGGCUUCACGUGCGUCGCCUUCGUCGCCGGCGCCCUCGCCUGGUGGGGACCCACCUACAUUCACCUGGGCCUCAAGAUGCAGCCCGGCAACGAGAACCUCCAGCUGGACGAUGUCUCCUACAAAUUCGGCCUUGUCGCAAUGGCCGCGGGCCUGAUUGGCGUGCCGCUCGGCUCGGUGCUCGCUCAAUAUUAUCGCAGCCGGAUCGAGAACUGUGAUCCCUAUAUCUGCGCCAUCGGACUGUUCAUAUCGGCGCCCAUGGUCUUCGUUGGCCUGAUUAUACCGCGCACCAGCGGAACGCUCUGUUUCAUAUUCGUCUUUGUGGCGCAGGUGGCGCUCAAUCUCUGCUGGUCCAUUGUGGCCGACAUCCUGCUGUACGUGGUGGUGCCCACGCGUCGCUCAACUGCGGAAGCCUUCCAAAUACUCAUCUCACAUGCGCUGGGCGAUGCCGGCAGUCCGUACCUCGUGGGCGUCAUAUCGGUUGCGAUUAAGAAGCGUCUGAGCUCGUCGACGACAUUACUAAUUAGCCAGAACAGCAUGCAGAGCUUGUCGCAAGUGUUGGAAAAUGCCACGGAAACUGUAACGGAAAGCAUUAAGGAUAUGCCGUAUCCACGAGCAGCGCCCACGGAUGAUGUCUUGUCCUUCGAGUCUCUGCAGUAUUCGCUGUUCUCCACCACCUUCGUGGAGGUGCUGGGCGGCAUAUUCUUCCUGAUCACCGCCUGCUUCAUAAUCAGAGACAAGGCCAAGGCAACAAGCGUCAGCCUGGCCAACGAUUUGAGAUCGGCGCCAACACAACCCAACCCAAAACUUCUGUUCGAUUCGGAUUGCCUGGUCAUGUGCACAGAUAUUGCACUGCGAGAGCGCGCGUGAGCCAAAAUUCUAGUUACUGAUAGCCACAAUGUUAUGUUUAUGUUUUUGGCCCUAACACUCGAAUCCAGCGAACAGCAGCGCAAUCGCAAUGUCUAAUGCCUAAUGCCUAAUGCCGGCCGAUCCAAGGCGUUAUUCGACGCACUCAUCGCGAAGGCAUUCUGGGCGAAGUGAUACCGACUGAGAAUCAUCUAUAAAGAUUAUUUAUAAACAGCACCCUUCAUGCACACCAAAAAAAUACCUAUGCGCAUCUAGUUGUAAAAACUAUAUGUAUAUAGUUUAUAUAUUUUUGACGUGUUUUGGAUUUUCGUAUUGUUUUUAGAAAUUACAAAUAUCGCAUAUAUAGAAGGGCGCGUUCCUAUCACUCAUACUGCUUCUACAUGUGCAUACAGAAACAUAUAUAUAUAUCACAAUAUCGGAGCGGAUAGUCUUAUAAAUUAUACACUAAAUCAUCAAAUUUUACUUAUGUAUUUACAAUUUAAGCAAUACGUAAGAUUUCAACAUUUCAUACGCAUUCGUUUUGUGGCUCCUUUUAGUUUAAGACCUCUGUCCCAAGUAGAAUUAAACAUUAUAUUGUAUAUAGUUGAAGCAUCUAAAACUGUUUUAAACUCUCUCUCUCUCUCUCUCUCUCUCUCUCUCUCUGUCUCUCGCCUAUCUCAGAAAUGUUUUUAUUAAUCGGUUACACACAAAUCUGUACAUAUUUUAGCACCCGGCCAUAAUUGUUAAGCGCUUAGUCCAUAAAUACAUAUAAUUAUACUAUAUAUAUAUAUAUAUAUAUAAAUAAUUAUAUUUAAUUGUAACCGUAGCUAGUGUUCUUAACAAAUUAAAAAUGAAACAAGAAAUAAGAGCAAAUAUGAAAUAAGUUUAACAAAUAAAUACGAAACUAAAAA